rnacentral:rRNA from 1 species
CGACGUGCCCUGGAAGUGGACUAGGGGCCCUUCUCGGGUUACCGAAUUCAGAUGAACUCCGAAUGCCAUGUACUUAUACUCGGGAGUCAGACUGCGAGUGAUAAGAUCCGUAGUCGAAAGGGAAACAGCCCAGACCACCAGUUAAGGUCCCCAAAUAUAUGUUAAGUGGAAAAGGAUGUGGGGUUGCUUAGACAACCAGGAUGUUGGCUUAGAAGCAGCCACCAUUGAAAGAGUGCGUAAUAGCUCACUGGUCGAGUGACCCCGCGCCGAAAAUGUACCGGGGCUAAACAUAUUACCGAAACUGUGGAUGAACCUCUUCGGAGGUUCGUGGUAGGAGAGCGUUCUAAGGGCGGUGAAGUCAGACCGGAAGGACUGGUGGAGCGCUUAGAAGUGAGAAUGCCGGUAUGAGUAGCGAAAGAAGGGUGAGAAUCCCUUCCACCGAAUAUCUAAGGUUUCCUGAGGAAGGCUCGUCCGCUCAGGGUUAGUCGGGACCUAAGCCGAGGCCGAUAGGCGUAGGCGAUGGACAACAGGUAGAGAUUCCUGUACCAGUGCUAAUUGUUUAACCGAUGGGGUGACACAGAAGGAUAGGGAAUCGCACGAAUGGAAAUGUGCGUCCAAGCAGUGAGUGUGAGAAGUAGGCAAAUCCGCUUCUCGCGAAGCAUGAGCUGUGAUGGGGAAGGAAAUUAAGUACGGAAGUUCCUGAUUUCACGCUGUCAAGAAAAGCCUCUAGGAAGAGUAGUACUGCCCGUACCGCAAACCGACACAGGUAGAUGAGGAGAGAAUCCUAAGGUGAGCGAGAGAACUCUCGUUAAGGAACUCGGCAAAAUGACCCCGUAACUUCGGGAGAAGGGGUGCUCUAUUAGGGUGCAAGCCCGAGAGAGCCGCAGUGAAUAGGCCCAGGCGACUGUUUAGCAAAAACACAGGUCUCUGCAAAACCGUAAGGUGACGUAUAGGGGCUGACGCCUGCCCGGUGCUGGAAGGUUAAGAGGAGUGCUUAGCUUCGGCGAAGGUACGAAUUGAAGCCCCAGUAAACGGCGGCCGUAACUAUAACGGUCCUAAGGUAGCGAAAUUCCUUGUCGGGUAAGUUCCGACCCGCACGAAAGGCGCAACGAUCUGGGCACUGUCUCAACGAGAGACUCGGUGAAAUUAUAGUACCUGUGAAGAUGCAGGUUACCCGCGACAGGACGGAAAGACCCCGUGGAGCUUUACUGCAACCUGAUAUGGAAUGUUUGUACCGCUUGUACAGGAUAGGUAGGAGCCGAAGAGACGUGUGCGCUAGCAUACGAGGAGGCAAUGGUGGGAUACUACCCUGGCUGUAUGACCAUUCUAACCCGCCACGCUUAGCGCGUGGGGAGACAGUGUCAGGUGGGCAGUUUGACUGGGGCGGUCGCCUCCUAAAGAGUAACGGAGGCGCCCAAAGGUUCCCUCAGAAUGGAUGGAAAUCAUUCGCAGAGUGUAAAGGCACAAGGGAGCUUGACUGCGAGACUGACAAGUCGAGCAGGGACGAAAGUCGGGCUUAGUGAUCCGGUGGUUCCGCAUGGAAGGGCCAUCGCUCAACGGAUAAAAGCUACCCCGGGGAUAACAGGCUUAUCUCCCCCAAGAGUCCACAUCGACGGGGAGGUUUGGCACCUCGAUGUCGGCUCGUCGCAUCCUGGGGCUGUAGUCGGUCCCAAGGGUUGGGCUGUUCGCCCAUUAAAGCGGCACGCGAGCUGGGUUCAGAACGUCGUGAGACAGUUCGGUCCCUAUCCGUCGCGGGCGCAGGAAAUUUGAGAGGAGCUGUCCUUAGUACGAGAGGACCGGGAUGGACACACCGCUGGUGUACCAGUUGUUCCGCCAGGAGCAUCGCUGGGUAGCUAUGUGUGGCAGGGAUAAACGCUGAAAGCAUCUAAGCGUGAAGCCCCCCUCAAGAUGAGAUUUCCCAUUUCUUCGGAAAGUAAGAUCCCUGAAAGAUGAUCAGGUAGAUAGGUUUGGAGUGGAAGUGUAGCGAUACAUGGAGCGGACAAAUACUAAUCGAUCGAGGACUUAACCAA